GACGAACGCUGGCGGCGUGCUUAACACAUGCAAGUCGAACGGAAAGGCCCUGCUUUUGUUGGGUGCUCGAGUGGCGCACGGGUGAGUAACACGUGAGUAACCUGCCCUUGACUUUGGGAUAACUUCAGGAAACUGGGGCUCAUACCGGAUAGGAGCUCCUGCUGCAUGGUGGGGGUUGGAAAGUUUCGGCGGUUGGGGAUGGACUCGCGGCUUAUCAGCCUGUUGGUGGGGUAGUGGCUUACCAAGGCUUUGACGGGUAGCCGGCCUGAGAGGGUGACCGGCCACAUGGGGACUGAGAGACGGCCCAGACGCCUACGGGAGGCAGCAGUGGGGAAUAUGGCACAAUGGGCGGAAGCCUGAUGCAGCAACGCCGCGUGCGGGAUGACGGCCUUCGGGUUGUAAACCGCUGUGGCCUGUGACGAAGCGUGAGUGACGGUAAUGGGUAAAGAAGCACCGGCUAACUACGUG
rnacentral:rRNA from 1 species